rnacentral:rRNA from 1 species
AACAACUGAGGGAAACUUCAGCUAAUACCGGAUGAGCCCGAAAGGGGAAAGAUUUAUCGCCAAUAGAUCAGCCCGCGUCCGAUUAGCUAGUUGGUAGGGUAACGGCCUACCAAGGCGACGAUCGGUAGCUGUUCUGAGAGGAAGAUCAGCCACACUGGGACUGAGACACGGCCCAGACUCCUACGGGAGGCAGCAGUUGGGAAUCUUGGACAAUGGGGGAAACCCUGAUCCAGCCAUGCCGCGUGAGUGAUGAAGGCCUUCGGGUUGUAAAACUCUUUCGACGGGGACGAUAAUGACGGUACCCGUAGAAGAAGCUCCGGCUAACUUCGUGCCAGCAGCCGCGGUAAUACGAAGGGGGCUAGCGUUGUUCGGAAUUGCUGGGCGUAAAGCGCGCGCAGGCGGUUCUCCAAGUCAGUGGUGAAAGCCCGGAGCUCAACUCCGGAAUUGCCAUUGAAACUGUUGAACUUGAGUACGAGAGAGGUGAGUGGAAUUCCCAGUGUAGAGGUGAAAUUCGUAGAUAUUGGGAAGAACACCGGUGGCGAANGCGGCUCACUGGCUCGUUACUGACGCUCAGG